GCAAGUCGAGCGGUAACAUUUCUAGCUUGCUAGAAGAUGACGAGCGGCGGACGGGUGAGUAAUGCUUGGGAACAUGCCUUGAGGUGGGGGACAACAGUUGGAAACGACUGCUAAUACCGCAUAACGUCUACGGACCAAAGGGGGGGAUCUUCGGACCUCUCGCCAUUUGAUUAGCCCAAGUGAGAUUAGCUAGUUGGUGAGGUAAUGGCUCACCAAGACAAUGACACCUAACUGGUUUGAGAGGAUGAUC
rnacentral:rRNA from 1 species